GAUGAACGCUGGCGGCGUGCCUAAUACAUGCAAGUCGAGCGAACAGACGAGGAGCUUGCUCCUCUGACGUUAGCGGCGGACGGGUGAGUAACACGUGGAUAACCUACCUAUAAGACUGGGAUAACUUCGGGAAACCGGAGCUAAUACCGGAUAAUAUAUUGAACUGCAUGGUUCAAUAGUGAAAGACGGUUUUGCUGUCAAUUAUAGAUGGAUCCGCGCCGCAUUAGCUAGUUGGUAAGGUAACGGCUUACCAAGGCGACGAUGCGUAGCCGAACUGAGAGGGUGAACGGCCACACUGAGACUGAAACACGGUCCAGACUCCUACGGGAGGCAGCAGUAGAGAAUCUUCCGCAAUGGGCGAAAGCCUGACGGAGCAACGCCGCUUGAGUGAUGAAGGUCUUCGGAUCGUAAAACACUGUUAUUAGGGAAGAACAAAUGUGUAAGUAACUAUGCACGUAUUGACGGUACCUAAUCAGAAAGCCACGGCUAACUACGUG
rnacentral:rRNA from 1 species